rnacentral:rRNA from 1 species
UACGGAGGGUGCGAGCGUUGUCCGGAAUCACUGGGCGUAAAGGGCGCGUAGGCGGCGCGGAUAGUCGGCGGUGAAAGCCCGGAGCUCAACUCCGGGUCGGCCGUCGAUACUUCCGGGCUUGAGCACUGUAGAGGCAGAUGGAAUUCCGGGUGUAGCGGUGGAAUGCGUAGAGAUCCGGAAGAACACCGGUGGCGAAGGCGGUCUGCUGGGCGAGUUGCUGACG